AUGUUUAUUCGCCUUUCUCUUAGGCAGAGCUGGUGCACACUCGGGGCUCUGCAUUUUGCGGAAUCACGCUGUGUCUUCGCAUGCAAUCUCUCCCUGAAUGUGCAAUGUCUUUCCUGCUCGGGAGUGCUGCGUCCUUCACAGUGGAUUGGUUCCUCUUUCGGAGCAGAGACUUACAUGAAGAAAUUGUUACAGAUGUCAUGUUUUGAGGAUGGCUGAUCCUGUGCUUGGAAGCCAGCUCAUGCCAAACAGGUGAAACAGCAGAGCGAACACCAAGGACAGAGACGGAGGAGGAGGAAGUACUCCAGGCACUCCAGAUGUGCACACUGGAGCCUGUGCAGGACCCCAUGCUGGAGUAUGUGAAUAUUUCCUGAAGAAAAUGUGGCCUGUGGAGAGCAGGGGAAAAGCAUGAGUGGGAAGGACAGGCAGAGAGAAACUGUUAUACACUGACCAUAACCCCUUGUCACUGUGCACCACUCAGAGGUGUGAUACAGCGUGCCCCACCUGGUGCCUGGUGUGAAUGAGAUGUCUAGACUGUGAGAGUGGGGAGGAAAGAUGUUUUUAUGUUCUUGUUUCUCGCUACCCAAAUCUAUUUUAAUUAGCGAUAAAUUAAAUUAAUUUUUCCCAAGUCAAAUUUGUUUUUCCUGAGAUGGUAAUUGGUAAGCAAGCUCCCUGACUUUGUCUCAAUCCAUCAGGUUUUUCAUCCUAUAUU
rnacentral:lncRNA from 1 species